GGGGACGGAUCCGGCGGGACGGCGACCCUCGUUCCCCCUCCGGCAGCGCGUCGCUGGCCAAGCCUCUCCUUCGUGCGGAGUCUAAAGGCAAGGCCGUAAAUUCCGAGGGUGGCGCGGGCGCCGAGUAGCCGAAUAGGCGAAAACCUCCCUGGCCCCGGGGCGGCGAGAGGAUAGCAUUCCGUGUCCGGGA
rnacentral:ncRNA from 1 species